GGGCCGUUAGCUCAGUCGGUUAGAGCAGAGGACUCAUAAUCCUUUGGUCCGGGGUUCGAGCCCCCGACGGCCUA
rnacentral:tRNA from 2 species